rnacentral:lncRNA from 1 species
GUCAGACCUAGGCUCUCGCAGAGAACUGCAUCGCGCUCCCAGCUCUGCUGCCUCGGUGCGGGGACGGGGCUCUGCAUGAGGACUGGGAAUGUAAGUCCCGGGCCUGGACAGGCGCCCCUGGGAGCUAGCCUGGAGGAGAUUCAGUAGAAGGCUGAGGAGUCGGCUUGGAGGGUCUCGGCAAGGCGGCGCGGAUGGAGAUGAAGCUGCGAAGAAUGCUGAGAAAGAGCGGCCGGGGGCCUUGGAGGGAAGCUAGGGAAACGCUGCGGGGGCAGCCGAGGCCGUCGGCGCCCCGGGAGAAGGUGCAUGUGGAGUGGCGCCGGGGGGACGGGUGGGCGCUGGGCGGCGGCGGCGCCGGCCUGGAGGUGCGGCCUGGGCUCCUUCCGGACCCGCCCGGCCGGCGCAGGGGCUGCAGCCUCCACGCGGGGGCCUUCGGUUCCGCCUCAACUUUCCAACCGGGCCGCCUUCUCCCAGGGCGGGUGACUGAGCCGGGCACACGCAGCCUCUCCCGCGCCGGGCUGCCCCGGCCAGGGUCUUUCCUCCCUCGCCCAGUCGCUGCCCUCUCCUUUCCCGCAGCCCGCGGGGCCUGGGCUCUCCCUGCCAGCUCCUCCUGUGUCCACUUCAGCCUUCCCGGUUCCCCAGGCAGCCUGUCCUGCCGGUCACUCCGUCUCCCACCUGCUUUGCCGGGAACUAGAGCACACACCACACAGGAGGCGGGAGGGGGGCGCAAGAGGUGGGUGUUGGAGGCGGGGGUGUGGUGUGGCUGUGGUGUGAUGUGUGGUGUGUGGUGUGUGUGUGUGUGGUGUGGUGCAUGUGGGGUGUGUGUAGUGUGUUGUGUGUGGUGUGUGUGGUGUGUGUAGUGUGUGGGGUGGUGGGUAUGUGUGUGGGGUAUGUGGUGUGUGUGGUGUGUGUAGUGUGUGGGGUGGUGGGUAUGUGUGUGGGGUAUGUGGUGUGUGUAGUGUGUGUGUGUAGUGUGGUGUGUGUGUGGUGUGUUUGUGCGGUGUGGUGUGUUUGGUGUAGUGUGUUGUAUGUGUGGGGUGUGUGCGUGUGGUGUGUUUGGUGUAGUGUGUGUUGUGGUAUGUGUGGUGUGUGGGGUCUGUGUGGUGUGUUUGUGUGGUGUGGGGCGUGUUUGGUGCGUGUGGUGAGUUUGGUGUGUGUUGUGGUAUGUGUGUGGGGUGUGUGUGGUGUUUGUGUGUGGUGUGUUUGUAGUGUGUGUGGGCUGUGUGUGUGGUGUGGUGUGUUUGGUGUGUGGGGUGUGUGUGGCGUUUGUGUGUAGUGUGGUGUGUGUGGUGUGCUGUGUGUGGUGUGUUUGUGUGUGGUGUGUUUGUGUGUGUGGUGUGUAUAGUGUGGUGUGUGUAGUGUGUUUGUGUGUGUGGUGCGGUGUGUAUGCGGUGGGCGUGUGCAGAAACAACAAGCCCCUGCUCCGCAUGGGGUGUGGAGCAGAUGCUGCGGAAGCCGCCUGGCCUGUGGGCGUUGGCAGUGGGGACCAGCUGACCCAGAGACUCCGCGCUUCCCCGCGCUUCCCCCACCCCCGCCCCACUGCGGCGCUCCGGGGCUCACUGAGUUCCGAAUCCACCUCCUGGGAUCCGCGCCCUGGCUACCAGGCCCUGAGCCUUCUGCGGGCCAGCGAGCUCCCGCCAGGUUCUGCCAACAGGGGGCCCCAGAGGGCGGCGUGGUGGCCGCAGAUCGCAGGACAGGAGCCUGUUCCCGUCAGCAGAGCCCCAAUAACCCCCCGGACUCCCAACGGUGGCGCGGUCAUGCCCAGUUUUCUAGCUUGCUUCAUGCACUCCCAGGACCUGCCUGCCCACAUCCCGCCCGGGCCGGCUGGUCCAUCUCGGAGAUUUGAGUCCAGCUCUCUGGGAGGCCCCAGGGCCAGGCAAGUGCAGAGGUCCGGUUCCACUCCCCAGGGCCCCUUCUCCAGCUUCCAGGACCUCGGUUCUCAGAACCCUCAUGACUUCUCUUUGCUCUUUAGAGACCUUCACUGCUUCUAUCAGUCACCAUAUCUGAAUCUUGGCUUGCCACUCAAUCCUCCAAUAUCGACCAACAACAGGAGAUUCUCUCUAUCUGAGGGGGGAGGUGUGUUUCCCUGACUAGACUCUAAAUACAAAUCCUCCACUUCUCCAUCUGUCUCUCCAGUGAUCUCAGAGGCAUGGUCUUAACACCGCGCACAGUUCCUUGCAAGUUGAAGAGUAGACCCAAAUGAUCAGUUCUAAAAUUCUAUUCUUAUUGAAGAUUACUGGUGGAAAUAUCAAUGCAAACAAAAUGAAAAAGUUCAACAAUGAUUAAUACUGCAUUUCAACAGAAGAAUCAAAUCAUCUUGACAAAACUUCAAUGGGCAAAAUUUGCCUUGGGGAAUUUUAUGCAGGGGAAUCCUUGGGUCUGAUGUGUGGUGGGCUUUGGAUGUGUUGUGUAGCUCAGUGUCCCUUCCUGCUACUCCUAGUCAUCUCCAGAAACUCAGACCACCCAUCUACUAAAGGCAGGUGGAUGAGCAAGGGGGCCUCGGAGGCAUUCCGGAUCACACUGAACCUGAGCCCCACCGCCUGACCCACUCAGUGUCACUGUUAACAGAAACUCGCUGCCAUCUGGCCUCAGGCCUGCCUCCUUCCUAUAGAACUUGACACUGGAAGCACCAGGCGAGCUGGACCUUCUGCUGCUACUGCACUCCCAUGAUGCAGCCUGAGAAUGAAGCCCACCAGAGUGACAGAGAGCAGACCUGAGUGGUGAGCUGGUGACACAGGGUGUGGGUGGUGUCCCUUGAGCUUCGACACCACGCCACACCUGAAACCAGCCUGACAUCCAUGAUUUUGCUUUUUUGCUUAAACCAGUCUGCGUCAUUUUCAACAAAAGAGUUCUACUAGAUAUGACAAAUUUCUCUAGAAGACCUAAGAAGUGAAAGACUUGAAGCUAUUCCAGUGGUUCAGGAACUAGGACACUGGUAGGAAACUGGAAAGAAGGCAUCAGAGUUAAGGAAAUAUUUAUGAGGUCAACUCUGGAAGUCUUGGUUACUGAGUGAAUACAGUGGCUGAGAGGAAUGGAAGCAUCCAACCAAAUAAAAAAAGAUGGUGCUGAGAUUUGGGUUAUGAGGUCAAUGACUGAAGCAAUGCGAUUAACUGAGUUAGGAGUCUCAAAUAUAGGAUGAGUGCAGAGUUGAGGAUGAAGAAUUCUGCUUUGGACACAAUGAGUGUGAGGUGCCCAAGGAUAACCCAACGGGAAGCAGUCACACCAAAGCAACAGGGUGUGCACCUGAAACUCAGAAGGGUGAUUGGGCUAUGGUGAAGAUUCCUGAUCACCCAUAAAUGAAUUCAUUAAAAGCAUGAGAGUGAGUGGAGGGGCCCCUAGAAUAUGGUGGGUGCAUGAGACUAACCCUAGAUUGGGGAUAGCUCCCUGGGAAAUCCAAGGGACAAGGUGAGGAGGAGGAGGCGGAGCCCACCAAGGAAACUAGAAAGAGACCGCUGGAGAGGUCCGAGGACAGCAAGGAGCACAGCCUUCAAGUCUGGGAGCCAACUAUCCAAGAAGAGAGUGGUUUGCUAUGGAUGCCGUGGGCCACCACGUCCCAUCUAGGAAAGCAAGUUGAGGUCUCUCUUGAAUACAUUGGGAUUGAUUACCCAGACUUUAAAGAAUCUAUGUCCCCUACUUCCCUUCAUUCACUCUGCUCUUUACCUUCUCCUCUUCCCUGGUCACCAGCACCUCUGCUAAAGGGUGGAGAAAGGAACUUCUGAUCAGUUACAGAAAAGCUUUGGGGUUACGUGGUGCAAGCUGCUCUGCCUCUGUUUGUGAAGAAAUUAGACUAUGGCCAGCCAUGUGAGUGGCAUCACUUUGGUUUCUGGAGCAAUAGUUAGUAGCAACUUUUAGAGGUGGUCAUUUCGGUUCCCUUCUGGAAAGUGAUUCGUGUUUAAGAAAAAUAGAUGCAACGUUGCUAAGUACACCUAACAUUUAAACAGUCUCCAGCAGAUAAAUGCUGAUACUGACACUUCUCACCAGAAAAAGAGAAAUACCCAUCAUGAGGAAGAGAAAUGACUUUUGUUCAGUUAUGCUCCCGGGUCCCCUUUCACUGGAGGGAUAUCUCAGCUUUCUGAGCCCCUGGUUACUGCAAUCCUCGGUUCCAGAACCCAGCAAUUCCUAUCAUCACAAUUGUUUCAAGUCUUAUCCAAGCCCUGUAUAUUUCAGAUCAUCCUUAAUUUCUUGUUCUGUACCCAGAGGAGAUCAGGAAAACCUUUAAGUCUCUAUGUGAGGCAAAUACAUCCUCCUCACUGCCCCAGCCCCAUGUGAUUGAUGAAGCAACUGAGGAAGAGAAGUAGGGUGCUUCUGGCACUGGAGGAGCGCAGUGCUGAGAAACUCCGGGCUCCAUUCGGAAAUAGCACUGAUUUCUUAGUGUACUUUUUUUUGGUGUUAAUAUAGAAAACAUCAAAAACACAGUUAAAAGAAUGAAGCAUGUCUACAUACGUGUGGCCAGAAAGACUGACCAGAAGCUGGUAGCAGUGAGGGAUGACAGUGCUUGCCCCUGGGUUGAAUAGUGGAAGAGUUAGGGGGGAAACAGUCUGCUCUUUGAGACCCUUUCAAUUUCAUGUGAUGGAUUUACAGAGACAGAUGAAUUAAACAUUAUAUAAAAAAGGAAUAAAACCACUGGUAGGAUCUGUAUUCCAGGAAGAAAAAAGCAUAUUACAUAAUAGGUCAAUGCACAGAAAUAAAAAAAGGAAUUUAACUAGAGCCUAUGCUAAUCAUAAAUCCC